GGAAGGAUCAUUACCGAGUGCGGGUCCUUUGGGCCCAACCUCCCAUCCGUGUCUAUUAUACCCUGUUGCUUCGGCGGGCCCGCCGCUUGUCGGCCGCCGGGGGGGCGCCUUUGCCCCCCGGGCCCGUGCCCGCCGGAGACCCCAACACGAACACUGUCUGAAAGCGUGCAGUCUGAGUUGAUUGAAUGCAAUCAGUUAAAACUUUCAACAAUGGAUCUCUUGGUUCCGGCAUCGAUGAAGAACGCAGCGAAAUGCGAUAACUAAUGUGAAUUGCAGAAUUCAGUGAAUCAUCGAGUCUUUGAACGCACAUUGCGCCCCCUGGUAUUCCGGGGGGCAUGCCUGUCCGAGCGUCAUUGCUGCCCUCAAGCCCGGCUUGUGUGUUGGGUCGCCGUCCCCCCGGAGAGGGGGACGGGCCCGAAAGGCAGCGGCGGCACCGCGUCCGAUCCUCGAGCGUAUGGGGCUUUGUCACAUGCUCUGUAGGAUUGGCCGGCGCCUGCCGACGUUUUCCAACCAUUUUUUCCAGGUUGACCUCGGAUCAGGUAGGGAUACCCGCUGAACUUAAGCAUAUCAAUAAGCGGAGGAAAAGAAACCAACCGGGAUUGCCUCAGUAACGGCGAGUGAAGCGGCAAGAGCUCAAAUUUGAAAGCUGGCUCCUUCGGAGUCCGCAUUGUAAUUUGCAGAGGAUGCUUUGGGUGCGGCCCCCGUCUAAGUGCCCUGGAACGGGCCGUCAGAGAGGGUGAGAAUCCCGUCUUGGGCGGGGUGUCCGUGCCCGUGUAAAGCUCCUUCGACGAGUCGAGUUGUUUGGGAAUGCAGCUCUAAAUGGGUGGUAAAUUUCAUCUAAAGCUAAAUACUGGCCGGAGACCGAUAGCGCACAAGUAGAGUGAUCGAAAGAUGAAAAGCACUUUGAAAAGAGAGUUAAACAGCACGUGAAAUUGUUGAAAGGGAAGCGCUUGCGACCAGACUCGCCCGCGGGGUUCAGCCGGCAUUCGUGCCGGUGUACUUCCCCGUGGGCGGGCCAGCGUCGGUUUGGGCGGCCGGUCAAAGGCCCCUGGAAUGUAGUACCCUCCGGGGUACCUUAUAGCCAGGGGUGCAAUGCGGCCAGCCUGGACCGAGGAACGCGCUUCGGCACGGACGCUGGCAUAAUGGUCGUAAACGACCCGUCUUGAAACACGGACCAAGGAGUCUAACAUCUACGCGAGUGUUCGGGUGUCAAACCCGUGCGCGCAGUGAAAGCGAACGGAGGUGGGAGCCCCCUCGCGGGGCGCACCAUCGACCGAUCCUGAUGUCUUCGGAUGGAUUUGAGUAAGAGCGUAAAUGUGGGGACCCGAAAGAUGGUGAACUAUGCCUGAAUAGGGCGAAGCCAGAGGAAACUCUGGUGGAGGCUCGCAGCGGUUCUGACGUGCAAAUCGAUCGUCAAAUUUGGGUAUAGGGGCGAAAGACUAAUCGAACCAUCUAGUAGCUGGUUCCUGC
rnacentral:misc_RNA from 1 species